rnacentral:lncRNA from 1 species
GAACUCCUGACCUCAAGUGAUCCACCUGCCUUGGUCUCCCAAAGUGCCGGGAUUAUAGGCGUGAGCCACCGCGCCCAGCCUCCCCUGCCUUCUGAGCAGGAUGCACCCCUCUGUCGAUUGCAUCACAUUGGAGCUCCUCCUCUUACAUUGUCUGGUAGGGGCCUGGCAAGGAAGUGUUAACACGAGAAAUGGAGAUCUCCUAUUCCUGACUCCCUCCUGGAACCAGCACGUCACUCCAGGCCCCCAGAGGCAUUGGCCCUCCUGUGAAUUCAACCAAGCGUGGUGUCCCAUAGCAAAUAUGGAAAACGCCUGGAAAAAGCCACCAGAUGGUGCUUCUCCAUGCCAAAUGAAGCUUCUACUUAAAGGGCAGCUGGGAAGCCUCCCGCCUUUUGUUCACAUCCCACUCCUUGUUUUCCUGCAUGAAGCCAGGUAACCCCCGGUGGAGAUAGGCACCUGUGAGAAGUAUCACUGCUUCGUGGGUCAGGGGCUUGGACCCACCAGGGCUGUGUCACCUGCGGACCAUGUGAACUCAACUCCCACCCCCCGGCCCCUGCCCAGCCUCCCCUACCAGGCUCGAUGUAAAGUGAUGGUGAAGUGAAAACAGAUUUGGGGCCCUUGCCACCUCUUUCUGGUUGGUAACUUUGUUUCUUGGACAACAAUGCAGAGUUUGAAGCCCAUCCAGGGACAACAUUCCAUCUGCCCCCUGCAAGUUCCGGUGCGGUCUUCGCUAAGAGGCCAAGCAAGAUGAUGUAAUCACCUGAUGAGUUCCUCCUGCCCACUGCACAGACAAAACCAAUUCACUGAGACGACGGCAUUGCAAUAAAGAAAGAGCUUAAUUGACACAAGGUUGGCCACUCCUGUCUCAAAUCAAAUCAAUCUGAAAAUUUGGAGGCUAGGGUUUUUAAAGGAUACUUUGGUGGGCAGGGGGCUGGGGAAUGGGGGCUGCUGAUUGGUUGGGGAUGCAAUCACAGGGUUGUGGAAAUUGGUCCUUGUGCACCAAGUCCACUUCUGGGCGGGCUCCCCAGGACCGGCUGAGCCAAGAGUUGAAGGUCUGGGUGGGGCCAUCCGGUCAUCAGAAAUGCAGGUAAAGACAUCUCAAAAGGCCAAUCUUAGGUUCCACAAUAGUGAAUUGGGACAGUUGCAAAUCUUGUAUCCUCUGGAAUAAUGGCUGGUUGUCAUUUAACUAUGCCUGCGUCUUAGCGAAAUUUAGGCCCCUCUCAUCCUCCUAACCUGGUGGCCUUUCUUUUCUUUUCAUUUUUUUUUAAGAAACAGGUUCUUACUCUGUCCCCCAGGCAGGAAUGCAGUGGUGUGAUCGUGGCUCACUGCAGCUUAAAACUCCUGGGCUCAAGUGAUCCUCCCACUU